rnacentral:tRNA from 2 species
GGCGUAGCUCAAUUGGCAGAGCAGCUGACUUGUAAUCAGCAGGUUGUAGGUUCAAUUCCCAUCGCC